UACGGAGGGUCCAAGCGUUAUCCGGAUUCAUUGGGUUUAAAGGGUGCGCAGGCGGAACUUUAAGUCAGUGGUGAAAUCUUGCCGCUCAACGGUAAAAUUGCCAUUGAUACUGAAGUUCUUGAAUAUGGUUGAGGUAGGCGGAAUGUGUCGUGUAGCGGUGAAAUGCAUAGAUAUGACACAGAACACCGAUUGCGAAGGCAGCUUACUAAGCCAUUAUUGACGCUGAGGCACGAAAGCGUGGGGAGCGAACAGG
rnacentral:rRNA from 1 species